GUAGGUGAACCUGCGGAAGGAUCAUUAAUGAAAUAGUAAGGGAGUUGAUGCUGGCUUUUGCAUGUGCUCGCUCCUGACUCUUUUUUAUCCAUACACCUGUGCACUUCUGAGGGGCAACUUUGGUUCCCCUCUUCUUUAUUAUACCCCCUUUAUUGUGAUUAUUGAACGUGAUGUGUGCCGGAAGGCCUUAAAUUGUAAAAUACAACUUUUAACAACGGAUCUCUUGGCUCUC
rnacentral:misc_RNA from 1 species